rnacentral:rRNA from 1 species
CAAGUCGAACGCGAAAGUUCCCUUCGGGGAGCGAGUAGAGUGGCGCACGGGUGAGUAACACGUAGGUAAUCUACCUUUGGAUUGGGAAUAACAACCGGAAACGGUUGCUAAUACCGAAUAAUGCAGCGGCACCUAAUGGUGACAGUUGUUAAAGCGGGGGAUCGCAAGACCUCGCGUCUGAAGAGGAGCCUGCGGCAGAUUAGCCAGUUGGUAAGGUAACGGCUUACCAAGGCUAUGAUCUGUAGCCGGCCUGAGAGGGCGGUCGGCCACACUGACACUGACAUACGGGUCAGACUCCUACGGGAGGCAGCAGUCGGGAAUUUUGGGCAAUGGGCGCAAGCCUGACCCAGCAACGCCGCGUGAAGGAUGAAAUCCUUCGGGAUGUAAACUUCGCAAGAACGGGAAGAAUAAGUAAGAGUUAAUAUCUCUUACGAUGACGGUACUGUUUGUAAGCUCCGGCUAACUCCGUGCCAGCAGCCGCGGUAAUACGGGGGGAGCAAGCGUUGUUCGGAUUUACUGGGCGUAAAGGGCGCGUAGGCGGCCACCGCAAGUCGACUGUGAAAUCUCCGGGCUUAACCCGGAAAGGUCAGCCGAUACUGCGGGGCUAGAGUGCAGAAGGGGCAACUGGAAUUCUCGGUGUAGCGGUGAAAUGCGUAGAUAUCGAGAGGAACACCUGCGGCGAAGGCGGGUUGCUGGGCUGACACUGACGCUGAUGUGCGAAAGCUAGGGGAGCGAACGGGAUUAGAUACCCCGGUAGUCCUAGCCUUAAACGAUGAAUGCUUGGUGUCUGGGGUUUUAUAGUCCCCGGGUGCCGUCGCUAACGCUUUAAGCAUUCCGCCUGGGGAGUACGGUCGCAAGACUGAAACUCA